GUGGGGAAUAUUGGACAAUGGGCGAAAGCCUGAUCCAGCCAUGCCGCGUGUGUGAAGAAGGUCUUCGGAUUGUAAAGCACUUUAAGUUGGGAGGAAGGGCAGUAAGUUAAUACCUUGCUGUUUUGACGUUACCGACAGAAUAAGCACCGGCUAACUUCGUGCCAGCAGCCGCGGUAAUACGAAGGGUGCAAGCGUUAAUCGGAAUUACUGGGCGUAAAGCGCGCGUAGGUGGUGUUGUAAGUUGGAGGUGAAAUCCCCGGGCUCAACCUGGGAACUGCCUCCAAAACUGCAUGACUAGAGUACGGUAGAGGGUAGUGGAAUUUCCUGUGUAGCGGUGAAAUGCGUAGAUAUAGGAAGGAACACCAGUGGCGAAGGCGACCACCUGGACUGAUACUGACACUGAGGUGCGAAAGCGUGGGGAGCAAACAGGAUUAGAUACCCUAGUAGUCC
rnacentral:rRNA from 1 species